rnacentral:rRNA from 1 species
UACGGAGGGUGCAAGCAUUGAUCGGAAUUAUUGGGCGUAAAGGGCGCGUAGACGGGGAUAAUAGUCAGAUGUGAAAUCCUGGGGCUCAACCUCAGAACUGCAUUUGAAACUGUAUUUCUAGAGGGUAGGAGGAGAAAAUGGAAUUCCACAAGUAGCGGUGAAAUGCGUAGAUAUGUGGAAGAACACCGGUAGCGAAGGCGGUUUUCUAUCUUAUUCCUGACGUUGAGGCGCGAAAGCAAGGGGAUCAAACAGG